AUGAGGGCCCUCUGGGUCCAACCUCCCACCCGUGUUUAUUUUACCUUGUUGCUUCGGCGGGCCCGCCUUAACUGGCCGCCGGGGGGCUUACGCCCCCGGGCCCGCGCCCGCCGAAGACACCCUCGAACUCUGUCUGAAGAUUGAAGUCUGAGUGAAAAUAUAAAUUAUUUAAAACUUUCAACAACGGAUCUCUUGGUUCCGGCAUCGAUGAAGAACGCAGCGAAAUGCGAUACGUAAUGUGAAUUGCAAAUUCAGUGAAUCAUCGAGUCUUUGAACGCACAUUGCGCCCCCUGGUAUUCCGGGGGGCAUGCCUGUCCGAGCGUCAUUGCUGCCCUCAAGCCCGGCUUGUGUGUUGGGCCCCGUCCCCCGAUCUCCGGGGGACGGGCCCGAAAGGCAGCGGCGGCACCGCGUCCGGUCCUCGAGCGUAUGGGGCUUUGUCACCCGCUCUGUAGGCCCGGCCGGCGCUUGCCGAUCAACCCAAAUUUUUAUCCAGGUUGACCUCGGAUCAGGUAGGGAUACCCGCUGAACUUAAGCAUAUCAAUAAGCGGAGGAA
rnacentral:rRNA from 1 species